rnacentral:rRNA from 1 species
GACGUAGGGCGCGAGCGUUGUCCGGAUUUAUUGGGCGUAAAGAGCUCGUAGGCGGCUUGUCGCGUCGUCCGUGAAAACCUGCAGCUCAACUGCAGGCUUGCGGUCGAUACGGGCAGGCUGGAGUUCGGUAGGGGAGACUGGAAUUCCUGGUGUAGCGGUGAAAUGCGCAGAUAUCAGGAGGAACACCGGUGGCGAAGGCGAGUCCCUGGACAGGUCCUGACGCUGAGGCACGAAAGCUAGGGGAGCAAACGGG